rnacentral:rRNA from 1 species
AACGAACGCUGGCGGCAUGCCUAACACAUGCAAGUCGAACGAGACCUUCGGGUCUAGUGGCGCACGGGUGCGUAACGCGUGGGAACCUGCCCUUAGGUUCGGAAUAACUCCCCGAAGGGGGUGCUAAUACCGGAUAAUGUCUUCGGACCAAAGAUUUAUCGCCUUUGGAUGGGCCCGCGUUGGAUUAGCUAGUUGGUAGGGUAAAAGCCUACCAAGGCGACGAUCCAUAGCUGGUCUGAGAGGAUGAUCAGCCACACUGGGACUGAGACACGGCCCAGACUCCUACGGGAGGCAGCAGUGGGGAAUAUUGGACAAUGGGCGAAAGCCUGAUCCAGCAAUGCCGCGUGAGUGAUGAAGGACUUAGGGUUGUAAAGCUCUUUUACCCGGGAUGAUAAUGACAGUACCGGGAGAAUAAGCGCCGGCUAACUCCGUG